AAAUUGAAGAGUUUGAUCAUGGCUCAGAUUGAACGCUGGCGGCAGGCCUAACACAUGCAAGUCGAACGGUAGCACAGAGGAGCUUGCUCCUUGGGUGACGAGUGGCGGACGGGUGAGUAAUGUCUGGGAAACUGCCCGAUGGAGGGGGAUAACUACUGGAAACGGUAGCUAAUACCGCAUAACGUCGCAAGACCAAAGAGGGGGACCUUCGGGCCUCUUGCCAUCGGAUGUGCCCAGAUGGGAUUAGCUAGUAGGUGGGGUAACGGCUCACCUAGGCGACGAUCCCUAGCUGGUCUGAGAGGAUGACCAGCCACACUGGAACUGAGACACGGUCCAGACUCCUACGGGAGGCAGCAGUGGGGAAUAUUGCACAAUGGGCGCAAGCCUGAUGCAGCCAUGCCGCGUGUAUGAAGAAGGCCUUCGGGUUGUAAAG
rnacentral:rRNA from 2 species